rnacentral:lncRNA from 1 species
UCUGAAUCCGCCCCGACCUCAACCCAGCUCUCUUUCUGUCUUGUCAGUGGGAGAGGACUGAGUCAGGAGAAUAUCAAGCUGUUUUAUUUCAGCAAAUGCUCAUAACAGCUGUAUUGCUGUGCGAAAAGCGCUGUGCUUUAAUCCUGUUACCUUAAAUUUAGGUCGAACUCUACCUUGUCACACUGCUCAGCCUUCUGAGCCUUUCUCCAUCUCAGACAGAGACACGAAGGCUUCUUAGAACAACUGCUUCUUAUUGUUAUGAAGGUUAAAUGAGUUACUUUGGGAAGGCAGAUUGUUAACCACAGUGCUCUAUAAAAGGUGUGAUCAGGUAUUAACUUGCUGGCUUCCCCUCUGUUAGAGUGGGGAGCACCCUUUACAUGUUAAUUCAUCUUGAAAGGGAGGUGUAGACUUCAGGUAGGUCAGGUGCAUAUAAACUUCUUGUGGUGCAACCUCAGACCAACUCUUCCUCCUCGUAAGAACUGCUGCACUCCAACUGCAGGAGGUGUAUGUCUACACCUUGCCUCUUGCAUUAAGUUGUAAAUAUUAGUGAAGGUACCAAACCUCAUUCAUUAAACUUAGCACAGUGCCUGGUACAUGGCAGGCACUCAAUGAACACCCGUAAUCUUGUCUUAUCUCCUUAUACCUGCAGUUAAUGUCAUAUACAAUAGAUAUUUGAUUAAAGAAUACAUACACAUAAAGCUUAGCUGGGUGCUGUGGCUCAUGCCUGUAAUCCCAGCACUUUUGGAGGCCUAAGCAGGUGGAUUAUUUGAGCUCAGAAGUUCGAGACCAGCCUGGCUAACAUGUGAAACCCCGUCUCUAUUAAAAAUACAAAAAUUAGCUGGGUGUGGUGGCGCACACCUGUAAUCCUAGCUACUCAAGAGGUGGAGGCAGGAGAAUUGCUGGAAUCUUAAGAGGUGGAAGUUGCAGUGAGCAGAGAUUGUACCACUGCACUCCAGCCUGGGCGACAGAGUGAGAGAUACCGUGUCUCAAAAACAAAAAAUAAAACGUAGAAUAAGUUAGGAAAUUAUUUGUUAAAUAUCUGGAAAAGCUCUUUUACCAGAUAUCCAAAUGGCUUCUUUGCCUACUUCAGAUCUUUGCUCAAAUGUUGCCUUCUUAAGGAGGCCUUCCCUGCACAUCCUACUGAAAAUAUGCAGAUUCCUCCAGCAUCUCCGAGGAAUCCAAAAGCCUGGCAUACUGGCAAAAGGGUUUCACCAUAUUGCACAGGAUGGUUUCGAACUUCUGAACCCAAGCAAUCCACCCUCCUUGGCAUCCCAAAGUGUUGGGAUUACAGAGGUGAGCCACCUCACCCAGCAUGUAUACUUUGGAUAACAGUUCUUUACCAGAUGUGUGUUUUGCAAAUAUAUUCUCCCAGUUUGUGGCUUGUAUUUUUAUUCUAUUGACAUUGUCUUUAACAGAACAGACAUUUUUAAUUUUAAAGAAGUCCAUCUUAUAAAUUAUUUUCUUCAUGAAUUAUGCCUUGAUGUAGUAUCCAAAAAGUCACCACCUACCCAAGAUCAACUAGGUUUUCUCUUAUGUUAAUUUCUAAGAGUUUUAUAGUUUUGCAUUGUACACUUAGGUCUGUGAUUCAUUUGUAGUUAAUACUUAUGAAGGGCAUGAGAUCUGUGUCUGGAUCUAUCUUUUUGCAUGUGGAUAUCCAGUUCUUCCAGCACCAUUUGUUGAAAAUACUAUCUUUUCUUCAUUAUAUUGCCUUUACUCUGUUGCCAAAGAUGAGUUGACUAUAUUUAUGUGGGUCUGUUUGGGGCUCUUUAUUUUGUUUUGAUUGGUCUACUUGUCCAUUCUUUCACCAAUAUGAUGCAAUUUUGAUUGCUGUAGCUUUACAGUAAAUCUCAAAGUCAGGUAAUGACGGUCCUCUAACUUUGUUUUUUUCUUUAAUAUUGUGUUGGCUAUUCUGGGUCUUUUGCCUCUCCAUAUAAAGUUUAGAAUCAGUUUGUCUAUAAUCACAAUAUAACUUGCUGAGAUUCUGAUUGGGAUUCCAUUGAGUCUGUAGAUCAAUUUGGGAAGAAAUGACAUCUUGACAAUAUUGAGUCUUCUUAUCCAUGAACAUGUGUUAUCUCUUUAUUUAUUUAGUUCUUCUCUGACAUCUUUCAUCAGAGUUUUGUAGUUUCCCUCAUAUAGGUCUUAUACAUAUUUUCUAUUAGGUUUAUACCUACGUAUCUCAUUUUUUGUAUGCUGAAUGGUAUUGUGUUUUUAAUUUUAAAUUCCACUUGUUUAUUGCUAUUGUACAGAAAAGCAAUUGACUUUUGUAUAUUAACCUUGUAGCCUGCACCCUUACUAUAGUUCCUUGUUAGUUCCAGGAGAUUUUUAAAAAUUAUUUUUAUUUUAGAUUUUCUGCAUAGAUAAUCAUGUUAUUUGCAAAUAAAGAUAGUCUUGUUUCUUUCUGCCCAAUCUGUACA